GAUGAAGAACGUAGUGAAAUGCGAUAAGUAGUGUGAAUUGUAGAAUUCAGUGAAUCAUCGAAUCUUUGAACGCACAUUGCGCCCUUUGGUAUUCCAAAGGGCAUGCCUGUUCGAGCGUCAUUUGUACCCUCAAGCUUUGCUUGGUGUUGGGCGUCUUGUCUCUAGCUUUGCUGGAGACUCGCCUUAAAGUAAUUGGCAGCCGGCCUACUGGUUUCGGAGCGCAGCACAAGUCGCACUCUCUAUCAGCAAAGGUCUAGCAUCCAUUAAGCCUUUUUUUCAACUUUUGACCUCGGAUCAGGUAGGGAUACCCGCUGAACUUAAGCAUAUCAAUAAGCGGAGGA
rnacentral:misc_RNA from 1 species